CCUACGGGGGGCUGCAGUCGAGAAUAAUUCACAAUGGGGGCAACCCUGAUGGUGCAACGCCGCGUGGAGGAUGACGGUCUUCGGAUUGUAAACUCCUGUCAUCUGGGAGUAAGGCAUGGUUGUUAAUAGCAAACAUGAUUGAUAGUACCAGAAGAGGAAGGGACGGCUAACUUCGUGCCAGCAGCCGCGGUAAUACGAAGGUCCCGAGCGUUGUUCGGAAUCACUGGGCGUAAAGGGAGCGUAGGCGGCGUGGUAAGUCAGAUGUGAAAUCCCGGGGCUCAACCCCGGAACUGCAUCCGAUACUGCCAUGCUAGAGGAUUGGAGAGGUAGCUGGAAUUCUUGGUGUAGCAGUGAAAUGCGUAGAGAUCAAGAGGAACACUCGUGGCGAAAGCGAGCUACUGGACAAUUCCUGACGCUGAGGCUCGAAGGCUAGGGUAGCGAAAGGGAUUAGAUACCCAAGUAGUC
rnacentral:rRNA from 1 species